rnacentral:rRNA from 1 species
GUCCACGCCCUAAACGAUGUCGACUAGUUGUUCGGAGGGUAAAACCUUUGAGUAACGUAGCUAACGCGUGAAGUCGACCGCCUGGGGAGUACGGCCGCAAGGUUAAAACUCAAAGGAAUUGACGGGGACCCGCACAAGCGGUGGAUGAUGUGGAUUAAUUCGAUGCAACGCGAAAAACCUUACCUACCCUUGACAUGUCAGGAACUUUCCAGAGAUGGAUUGGUGCCCGAAAGGGAGCCUGAACACAGGUGCUGCAUGGCUGUCGU